rnacentral:rRNA from 1 species
UACGUAGGGGGCUAGCGUUGUCCGGAAUCAUUGGGCGUAAAGAGCGUGUAGGCGGUCCGGUAAGUCCGCUGUGAAAGUCGGGGGCUCAACCCUCGAAUGCCGGUGGAUACUGUCGGGCUAGAGUGCGGAAGAGGCGAGUGGAAUUCCUGGUGUAGCGGUGAAAUGCGCAGAUAUCGGGAGGAACACCAGUGGCGAAGGCGGCGACCUGGGCCAAUAUUGACGCUGAGGUGCGAAAGCGUGGGGAGCAAACAGG